rnacentral:rRNA from 1 species
GACGAACGCUGGCGGCGUGCUUAACACAUGCAAGUCGAACGGAAAGGCCCUGCUUGCAGGGUACUCGAGUGGCGAACGGGUGAGUAACACGUGGGUGAUCUGCCCUGCACUUCGGGAUAAGCCUGGGAAACUGGGUCUAAUACCGGAUAGGAGCCAUUUUUAGUGUGAUGGUUGGAAAGUUUUUUCGGUGUAGGAUGAGCUCGCGGCCUAUCAGCUUGUUGGUGGGGUAAUGGCCUACCAAGGCGGCGACGGGUAGCCGGCCUGAGAGGGUGGACGGCCAACAUGGGGAUGGAGUACAGGCCAGACGCCGACCGGGGGGAGGAGGGGGGAAAAAUGGACAAAGGGCGGGAACCUGGAGCAGCCACGGCGCGGGGGGGAUGAAGGGCGUCGGGUUGGUAAAUCGUUUCGCUAUGGACGAAGGUUUGUGUGACGGUAACUAGAAAAGAAGCACCGGCUAACUACGUG